UCAAAUGCGAUGACGGAGACAAUGCCUCUAGCAAGCAGGUUCAGAGAAUCGAUGGUUGGUGAGAAUCGAUGCUGCACUUCUGGUAUAAUCACUCCCGAGCAUUUUCGCUGAAUACUGAGUAAGCGGGAACGGUAUGCCCCGUUACAGGCAAGAGUUUGAUUGAACUUGAUUGAGCGCUGGCUGAUGCCGGCAUUAGGGUGGUACCGCGGAAAGUUUUCGCCCCUGCA
rnacentral:ncRNA from 1 species